rnacentral:rRNA from 1 species
UACGUAGGGGGCUAGCGUUGUCCGGAAUCAUUGGGCGUAAAGCGCGUGUAGGCGGUCCGGUAAGUCCGCUGUGAAAGUCGGGGGCUCAACCCUCGGAUGCCGGUGGAUACUGUCGGGCUUGAGUACGGAAGAGGCGAGUGGAAUUCCUGGUGUAGCGGUGAAAUGCGCAGAUAUCAGGAGGAACCCCAAUUGCGAAGGCCGCUCGCUGGGAAGUUACUGACGCUGAGACGCGAAAGCGUGGGGAGCAAACAGG